GUCCAAGAUGGUCCAAGAUGGUCCAAGGGUCAUCCAAGGUGGGCUGGAGUGCUCCAGCGUGGCCUGAGGUCAUUCCAGGAGCUCCAACAUGGUGUGAAGGUCAUCCAAGGUGGUCCAAGGUGGUCCAGGGUGGCCUGAGGGUCAUUCCAGGUGCUCCAGGGAUCAUUCAUGGUGGGCCAACAGUUUGUCCAAGGUUGCUUGAAGGUCAUCCAGGAUGGUCCAAGGUGGUCUGAAGGUCAUCCAGGAUGGUCCAAGGUGGUCUGAAGAUCAUCCAAGGUGGUCCAAGGUGCUCCGAGGGUCAUCCGAGGUGGCCCGGAGUGCUCCAAGGGUCGUUUGUGGUGGUCCAAGGUGGUCCAGAGGUCAUCAGGGGUGGGUCAAGGUGGCCUGAAGGUCCUUCAGGGUGCUCCAAGGGUCAUUGGAGAUGGUCCAGGGUGGCCUGAAGGUCCUUCAGGGUGCUCCAAGGUUGUCCAAGGGUCACCUGGCGUUGUCCAGCGUGGCCUGAGGGUCGUUCGUGGUGGGCCAGGGUGGCCUGAGGGUCCCUCCAGGAGGUCCAAGGGUCAUCCAUGGUGGUCCAAGGUGGUCUGAGGGUCCCUCCAGGAGGUCCAAGGGUCAUCCAUGGUGGGCCAGGGUGGCCUGAGGGUCCCUCCAGGUGCUCCAGGGUGGCCCAGGAGUUGUCCAGCACUGACCGAGCUCCAUCCAACGCUGUCCAGGGUGGUCCAAGGUCCAUCCAAGGUGGUCCAAGGUCCAUCCGAGGUGCUCCAAGGUCCAUCCGAGGUGCUCCAGGGGUUGUCCAGGGUGGCCCGAGGAGAUCCAAGGUGCUCCAAGGUCCAUCCAAGGUGGCCCAAGGUGGUUGAAGGUCCUGCCAAUGUGUCCCAAGGUGGCCCAAGCUCCAUCCAAGGUCCAUCCAAGGUGGCCCAAGGUGCUUGAAGGACCAUCUAAGGUUCUCCAAGGUGGCCCCAGGUCCAU